rfam:Gossypium arboreum cultivar AKA8401 contig_2186_5, whole genome shotgun sequence.
AGCCCAUGGUGAGGGAACCUUCUCAAUAGAUCUUUGUAUCUCUCCCAUGCAUCGUAGAGUGUUUCUAGAUCCAUCAGCACAAAAGAAGAGAUAUCAUUCCUUACUUU